rnacentral:rRNA from 1 species
AACGAACGCUGGCGGCAUGCCUAACACAUGCAAGUCGAACGAGAUCUUCGGGUCUAGUGGCGCACGGGUGCGUAACGCGUGGGAAUCUGCCCUUGGGUUCGGGAUAACAGUUGGAAACGACUGCUAAUACCGGAUGAUGACUUCGGUCCAAAGAUUUAUCGCCCAGGGAUGAGCCCGCGUCGGAUUAGCUAGUUGGUGAGGUAAAGGCUCACCAAGGCGACGAUCCGUAGCUGGUCUGAGAGGAUGAUCAGCCACACUGGGACUGAGACACGGCCCAGACUCCUACGGGAGGCAGCAGUGGGGAAUAUUGGACAAUGGGCGAAAGCCUGAUCCAGCAAUGCCGCGUGAGUGAUGAAGGCCUUAGGGUUGUAAAGCUCUUUUACCCGGGAAGAUAAUGUCUGUACCGGGAGAAUAAGCCCCGGCUAACUCCGUGCCAGCCGCCGCCGUAA